rnacentral:rRNA from 1 species
UACAGGGGGGGCAAGCGUUGUUCGGAAUUACUGGGCGUAAAGGGCCAGUAGGCGGCCAACUAAGUCCGACGUGAAAUCCCCAGGCUUAACCUGGGAACUGCGUCGGAUACUGGAUGGCUUGAAUUCGGGAGAGGGAUGCAGAAUUCCAGGUGUAGCGGUGAAAUGCGUAGAUAUCUGGAGGAAUACCGGUGGCGAAGGCGGCAUCCUGGACCGACACUGACACUGAGGAGCGAAAGCCAGGGGAGCAAACGGG